AGAGCGAACGCUGGCGGCAGGCUUAACACAUGCAAGUCGAGCGGGCGUAGCAAUACGUCAGCGGCAGACGGGUGAGUAACGCGUGGGAACAUACCUUUUGGUUUGGAACAACACAGGGAAACUUGUGCUAAUACCGGAUAAGCCCUUACGGGGAAAGAUUUAUCGCCGAAAGAUUGGCCCGCGUCUGAUUAGCUAGUUGGUGAGGUAACGGCUCACCAAGGCGACGAUCAGUAGCUGGUCUGAGAGGAUGAUCAGCCACAUUGGGACUGAGACACGGCCCAAACUCCUACGGGAGGCAGCAGUGGGGAAUAUUGGACAAUGGGCGCAAGCCUGAUCCAGCCAUGCCGCGUGAGUGAUGAAGGCCCUAGGGUUGUAAAGCUCUUUUGUGCGGGAAGAUAAGUGACGGUACCGCAAGAAUAAGCCCCGGCUAACUUCGCGCCAGCAGCCGC
rnacentral:rRNA from 1 species